GACGAACGCUGGCGGCGUGCUUAACACAUGCAAGUCGAACGGAAAGGCCCUGCUUUUGUGGGGUGCUCGAGUGGCGAACGGGUGAGUAACACGUGAGUAACCUGCCCUUGACUUUGGGAUAACUUCAGGAAACUGGGGCUAAUACCGGAUAGGAGCUCCUGCUGCAUGGUGGGGGUUGGAAAGUUUCGGCGGUUGGGGAUGGACUCGCGGCUUAUCAGCUUGUUGGUGGGGUAGUGGCUUACCAAGGCUUUGACGGGUAGCCGGCCUGAGAGGUUGAACGGGCACAUUGGGACUGAGAUACGGCCCAGACUGCUACGGGAGGCAGCAGUGGGAAAUAUUGCACAAUGGGCGGAAGUCUGAUGAAGAAACGCUGCGUUUGGGAUGACGGCCUUCGGGUUGUAAACCGCUUUAGCCUGAGACGAAGCGUGAGUGACGGUAACAGGAAAAGAAGCACCGGCUAACUACGUG
rnacentral:rRNA from 1 species